GAGCGCGUGGUCCUCCUGUCCUGGUCGCGAGCACAUGGAAGUGAGCUCGAGGUCUGUGAGAAGCGCGACUCGUCAUCCUCAUCAUUAUUUUAAAUCAGAUUUAUGAAUAUAUCAAUUGGAAAAAAAAAAGGUGGAUUUAAAGACAAAGAUUUUGAGCAGCUGCCUGGCUGCUGCUGCUGCCUCACAAACCCCCCUGUGCAACCUGAGUACCACCACAGCCAGUGCGCAAAGAAGACAACCAAAUAUCCCAGGCUGAGAAAAGGAAGGAUGCAACGAUGGAAGCAAGUGGAUUCAGUUUCACGGCAUCUUUUCAAGAGUGCACAAACUCUCACAGACACUUGCAUGGGUUUUAAUAGUGCCUACUUCUCCCUUUCUCUGAGAGGACACAGAUACACCCUGAAUGGGCCCCUGUGGUUUGUUGUACUUGGGAAGUACCUAGUGUUACAACUGUCACGCUGCUCUUAAAGGGCCAGUGGGGCUUUUCAUUUGACUUUUGCAACUCAUACAGAUAUUCUUUUGAAACCUACAGAGUKAUUUUCUUGACAACUUUGAACUUGUGUUUACUUUACAUUUCAAGGAUGUGAUGUUCCAUAAAUGAAAUCAUUUGAUUUGCUUUAUCGUUUCUAAACCCGCAUACAUUAUGCUUUGCAUAUUUUGCCCAUUUUGUCGGUCUGUUUUGUCUCUUGUUACGGUUGAAUAGUUUCAGAAGGUGUGGUAAUAAAUCCCUCAGUAUUUCAAUGCA